AUGGAAACGUUCAAAGAAACCUUACAAUAUGAAAAUAUGAGAUAUUUUGUUAAAUGGCCAUGGAAAGAAGAAAAAUAUGAACUACCAGUGAAUAGAGAACUUGCCAUGGGUCGAUUGAAGUCGUGUGUUGCGCGAAUGCGAAAUAAACCAGAGUUGAUGACUCAAUAUAAUUCAGUUAUUCAAGAUCAGUUAACGAAAGGUAUAAUUGAAUUGGUAGACGAGAAAGGAGUUGAUGGAAGAAAACAUUUUAUUCCACAUCACGCAGUUAUAACUCCACAGAAAUCGACAACUAAGAUGAGAAUAGUGUAUGAUGCUUCUGCUAAGAUGAACAAGGAUGUCAACAGCUUAAACGAGUGUCUAUAUCGUGGUCCAGUUAUGCUUCGCAAUCUGUGUGGUAUAUUAAUAAGAUUCAGGCUUUACAGAAUAGCUCUAGUUGCAGAUAUUGAGAAGGCAUUUCUUCAAGUCGGGCUUCAAAACAGCGAUCGAGAUGUAACAAGAUUUUUAUGGUUAAAAGAUAUUGAGAAUUUUUCAUUGAAUAAUGAAAAUAUUCAGGAAUUUCGUUUUUGCCGUGUGCCCUUUGGUGUAAUAUCUAGUCCAUUCCUUCUUGCAGCUACCAUUGAAAGUCAUCUUAACAAGUAUAAUACGCCUACAGCAGAGCAAAUCAGGAAUAACAUUUAUGUGGAUAAUCUCAUUACUGGUGCAAAUACCGUAACAGAUGCUCUGACACAUUACUCAGAAUCAAAACAAAUAUUUAAGGAUGCUUCUAUGAAUCUACGAGAAUGGAUUUCGAAUAGCCAGUCAGUGAAUGAUUUCAUUCUACCUGAAGACAAACCAAAAGUGAAUCAAACCAAAGUUCUUGGACAUCUUUGGAAUAUUGAAAAUGAUACAUUAUCUGUGAAACAUUCUCAGUCGUUUAUCAACUCAGGAAACAUAACAAAACGGAAGACAUUAAAGGAAAUAUCAGAAGUGUUCGAUCCGCUAGGAUUAUUUUCUCCUAUUCUUAUAAGUGGUAAGAUAUUUCUUCAGGAUUUAUGGAAGAAACACUUACGUUGGGAUGACGAAUUACAAGGAACGGACUCAUUAAAAUGGGGUUCUAUUCAAGCAGAACUACAACAAUUGUCUGAAUGCCAAAUUUCAAGAAGUAUUGGUAUUAUGACUGGGGAUGACAGAGUUCAAUAUAGGCUUUUGUGUUUUUGUGAUGCCUCUGGGAGUGCGUAUGCGAUCGUCAUAUAUUUGCAUCAAACUAGUUCGAAAUCUAGUAAGUGUGAUCUAAUAUUUUCCAAAUCAAGGUUAGCUCCAGUAAAAGGGAUGACUAUUCCGAGGCUGGAAUUGAUGGCUGUUUUGAUAGGUGUUAGGUGUUUAGCAUUCGUUAAAGGGGAAUUAAAUGUACCCAUUGAAACGAUAUAUCUUUGGACAGACUCUCAGUGUGUUUUAAAGUGGAUUUCGACAAAAAAGGAUCUUGGUGUAUUUGUGAAAAAUCGAAUAACAGAAAUUAAAAUUCAUAAAGAUGUUAAAUUCUUGUAUGUUUCCACCAAAGAAAAUCCAGCAGACGUUGCAACAAGAGGAACUUCGACUAGACUGCUCUGUGACAAUAGUCUGUGGUGGCAUGGUCCUGAGUGGCUUUUGAGCGACAUUCAUCAGUGGAAAAUAUUCACCUGUGAAGAUGUGUUAGCUAAACAAGAAUAUAAAUGUGAGUUGAAAGUAGGAAAGAAAAAACAACAGAAAGUAGUGCGUUGCUCUGUACCAAAGAAAUUGAAGGAAAUCAGAUUGAAACACCGUAUGGAAUACAGUGCAAAAAUUUCUCAUCGUAUUACAAACUUAUACGAGUGACUGCAUGGGUUGAGCGAUUCAUUUCACGAAUUAAGAAAAUUUCAGUUAAGACUAGUAAAAUUUUGACAUGCGAGGAACUGAAAAUUGCAGAAGAAAAAUGGAUCAAAUUUGUACAAAGGAGGAAUUAUUCAGAUAUUUUUAGUGCAAAUGCAAUAUAUGAAAACAAACCAAACAACCUACAGAAUCAACUUGGGCUUUUUAUAUCUGAUGAUGGUUUUCUACGUUGUAAAGGGAGAUUCGAAAAUGCAGAUUUGAGUGAAGCAGCUAGAAUACCGAUUCUUCUUCCGCGUGGGGAGGACUUCACGCGUUUGAUCAUUGAAAGAAUACACAAAGACCUCUUUCAUAGUGGUGUAUCACAAACUCUCAGUAAAUUAAGACAUAAGUUUUGGAUCCCACAAGGUCGUUCCACAGUUAGACAAGUUUUACGACAUUGCUUAGUGUGUCGAAGGUUUGAAGGUGGACAUUACGGAAUGCCUAAGAUGCCCCCAUUUCCAAGAUCUAGAGUAUCACAAUCCAUUCCGUUUGCAAGUACUGGCUUAGAUUAUCUUGGACCGAUUUAUGUAAAAUAUGAUGGCGAGAACAAGAAAAGAUGGGUAUGUUUGUUUACCUGUUUUGUUACACGUGCUAUACAUUUAGAAUUGUUAAAUGAUAUGACAACUGAAGAAUUUUUGUACGCAUUUAGAAGAUUCGUAUCAAUUCGAGGUGCUCCAUGCAAUAUUCUAAGUGAUAAUGCAGCCCAGUUCAAGUUGGGGAGUGCAACAUUAGAUUUAGUUUUGAAGAAAGUGAUUAAAUGUGAUGAUGUUCAAAACUAUGUGUCUAAUGCUGGCAUUCGAUGGACCUUUAUAACGGAAUUAGCGCCAUGGAUGGGAGGUUUUUACGAAAGGCUUGUUGGUGUGGUAAAACGUUCUUUGCGAAAAGUUCUGAAAGGAAGGUUAGUCAGCGACGUUCAAAUACUUACAGUUAUUAAGGAAACUGAAGCAAUUGUUAAUGCGAGGCCAUUGGUUUACAUAGGUGAUGAUGUGAAUUCGAAUAUUAACCUUACGCCAAGCCACUUUCUCACAUUGAACCCAAAAUAUUGGUAUUCCAGAAAUUGAAUAUGAUAUAAAUGACCAAAGUUACUCACCUGUUGAAAGUUCAACUGACAAGUUACUUAAGAUGUGGAAAAAGGGACAAAAACUUUUGGAUUCAUUUUGGACAAUGUGGAGGGAUGAAUAUUUAUUAAGUUUGAGAGAAAGAACUCAGACCAAGUUAAAGUGUGGUAGAGUGAAAUCACCAUAUGCUCCCAUCGUUGGAGAUGUUGUCAUUAUUAAAGACAACCUUCCAAGGGAGUGUGGAAAAUUAGGAAGACUAGUACAGUUAAUUCAUAGCAAUGAUGGUGAGAUUAGAUCAGCAAAAGUAGUUCUUUCAUCAAGAAAAGUUAUUAGUCGUCCGUUAAAUUUACUAUACCCUUUGGAAAUUGAAGAAAAAACAAAGGUUGAUGAGGAGAAUACGUGUCAGAGUGAAUCUGCUGAAACAAGACCUGUCAGGAAGUCUGCUGAAAAGGACUAG
rnacentral:sRNA from 1 species